rnacentral:rRNA from 1 species
ACUAAGCGUACACGGUGGAUGCCCUGGCAGUCAGAGGCGAUGAAGGACGUGCUAAUCUGCGAUAAGCGUCGGUAAGGUGAUAUGAACCGUUAUAACCGGCGAUUUCCGAAUGGGGAAACCCAGUGUGUUUCGACACACUAUCAUUAACUGAAUCCAUAGGUUAAUGAGGCGAACCGGGGGAACUGAAACAUCUAAGUACCCCGAGGAAAAGAAAUCAACCGAGAUUCCCCCAGUAGCGGCGAGCGAACGGGGAGGAGCCCAGAGCCUGAAUCAGUGUGUGUGUUAGUGGAAGCGUCUGGAAAGGCGCGCGAUACAGGGUGACAGCCCCGUACACAAAAAUGCACAUGCUGUGAGCUCGAUGAGUAGGGCGGGACACGUGGUAUCCUGUCUGAAUAUGGGGGGACCAUCCUCCAAGGCUAAAUACUCCUGACUGACCGAUAGUGAACCAGUACCGUGAGGGAAAGGCGAAAAGAACCCCGGCGAGGGGAGUGAAAAAGAACCUGAAACCGUGUACGUACAAGCAGUGGGAGCACAGAGCAAUCUGUGUGACUGCGUACCUUUUGUAUAAUGGGUCAGCGACUUAUAUUCUGUAGCAAGGUUAACCGAAUAGGGGAGCCGAAGGGAAACCGAGUCUUAACUGGGCGUUAAGUUGCAGGGUAUAGACCCGAAACCCGGUGAUCUAGCCAUGGGCAGGUUGAAGGUUGGGUAACACUAACUGGAGGACCGAACCGACUAAUGUUGAAAAAUUAGCGGAUGACUUGUGGCUGGGGGUGAAAGGCCAAUCAAACCGGGAGAUAGCUGGUUCUCCCCGAAAGCUAUUUAGGUAGCGCCUCGUGAAUUCAUCUCCGGGGGUAGAGCACUGUUUCGGCAAGGGGGUCAUCCCGACUUACCAACCCGAUGCAAACUGCGAAUACCGGAGAAUGUUAUCACGGGAGACACACGGCGGGUGCUAACGUCCGUCGUGAAGAGGGAAACAACCCAGACCGCCAGCUAAGGUCCCAAAGUCAUGGUUAAGUGGGAAACGAUGUGGGAAGGCCCAGACAGCCAGGAUGUUGGCUUAGAAGCAGCCAUCAUUUAAAGAAAGCGUAAUAGCUCACUGGUCGAGUCGGCCUGCGCGGAAGAUGUAACGGGGCUAAACCAUGCACCGAAGCUGCGGCAGCGACGCUGAUGCGUUGUUGGGUAGGGGAGCGUUCUGUAAGCCUGCGAAGGUGUGCUGUGAGGCAUGCUGGAGGUAUCAGAAGUGCGAAUGCUGACAUAAGUAACGAUAAAGCGGGUGAAAAGCCCGCUCGCCGGAAGACCAAGGGUUCCUGUCCAACGUUAAUCGGGGCAGGGUGAGUCGACCCCUAAGGCGAGGCCGAAAGGCGUAGUCGAUGGGAAACAGGUUAAUAUUCCUGUACUUGGUGUUACUGUGAAGGGGGGACGGAGAAGGCUAUGUUGGCCGGGCGACGGUUGUCCCGGUUUAAGCGUGUAGGCUGGUUUUCCAGGCAAAUCCGGAAAACUAAGGCUGAGGCGUGAUGACGAGGCACUACGGUGCUGAAGCAACAAAUGCCCUGCUUCCAGGAAAAGCCUCUAAGCAUCAGGUAACAUCAAAUCGUACCCCAAACCGACACAGGUGGUCAGGUAGAGAAUACCAAGGCGCUUGAGAGAACUCGGGUGAAGGAACUAGGCAAAAUGGUGCCGUAACUUCGGGAGAAGGCACGCUGAUAUGUAGGUGAAGUCCCUCGCGGAUGGAGCUGAAAUCAGUCGAAGAUACCAGCUGGCUGCAACUGUUUAUUAAAAACACAGCACUGUGCAAACACGAAAGUGGACGUAUACGGUGUGACGCCUGCCCGGUGCCGGAAGGUUAAUUGAUGGGGUCAGCGCAAGCGAAGCUCUUGAUCGAAGCCCCGGUAAACGGCGGCCGUAACUAUAACGGUCCUAAGGUAGCGAAAUUCCUUGUCGGGUAAGUUCCGACCUGCACGAAUGGCGUAAUGAUGGCCAGGCUGUCUCCACCCGAGACUCAGUGAAAUUGAACUCGCUGUGAAGAUGCAGUGUACCCGCGGCAAGACGGAAAGACCCCGUGAACCUUUACUAUAGCUUGACACUGAACAUUGAGCCUUGAUGUGUAGGAUAGGUGGGAGGCUUUGAAGUGUGGACGCCAGUCUGCAUGGAGCCGACCUUGAAAUACCACCCUUUAAUGUUUGAUGUUCUAACGUUGACCCGUAAUCCGGGUUGCGGACAGUGUCUGGUGGGUAGUUUGACUGGGGCGGUCUCCUCCUAAAGAGUAACGGAGGAGCACGAAGGUUGGCUAAUCCUGGUCGGACAUCAGGAGGUUAGUGCAAUGGCAUAAGCCAGCUUGACUGCGAGCGUGACGGCGCGAGCAGGUGCGAAAGCAGGUCAUAGUGAUCCGGUGGUUCUGAAUGGAAGGGCCAUCGCUCAACGGAUAAAAGGUACUCCGGGGAUAACAGGCUGAUACCGCCCAAGAGUUCAUAUCGACGGCGGUGUUUGGCACCUCGAUGUCGGCUCAUCACAUCCUGGGGCUGAAGUAGGUCCCAAGGGUAUGGCUGUUCGCCAUUUAAAGUGGUACGCGAGCUGGGUUUAGAACGUCGUGAGACAGUUCGGUCCCUAUCUGCCGUGGGCGCUGGAGAACUGAGGGGGGCUGCUCCUAGUACGAGAGGACCGGAGUGGACGCAUCACUGGUGUUCGGGUUGUCAUGCCAAUGGCACUGCCCGGUAGCUAAAUGCGGAAGAGAUAAGUGCUGAAAGCAUCUAAGCACGAAACUUGCCCCGAGAUGAGUUCUCCCUGACUCCUUGAGAGUCCUGAAGGAACGUUGAAGACGACGACGUUGAUAGGCCGGGUGUGUAAGCGCAGCGAUGCGUUGAGCUAACCGGUACUAAUGAACCGUGAGGCUUAACC